AGAAAGAAAAAAAGGAAAAAGAAGAAAGGGAGAGUCAAGAAAAGGCAGGGAAAGGAGGAAGGAGGGGGUCUGCAGAACCGUCUUCUUUUUCUUUUUUUUCCCCUGGCUCUUCCUCCUC
rnacentral:ribozyme from 1 species